AAGAUAAAAGCAAGCGUCAACAAGUAAAGAUAAAAUAAUAAAAAGUAAAUAAUUUAAUAAAAAAACUGAACAACUGAGUUGCUCUGUUCCACACGGUCGGGAGCAUUUGUUGGUGCUUGACGCUUUUCGACAGCUAAUUGAAAACUCGAUCACCGGUAAUUUGCGACAUUUGUGCAGUGUUCGGCGGACUAACAGAGUGAAUAGUCAAGUUUGUGUGGUGCUGAGACUUAUUAACAAUUUAAAAACAUCUCUGGACAUUGAAAAUAGCUAAACUUGGACUUGAAGAAAAUUUUAGGUUGAAAAAAAAA